CCAAACUUUUUCUCUCAAUGUGUAUGGAAAAUUACAGUGAUGAAGUAGCUGGUCCUGGAGUUAGCUAGAAACUUUCAAGUCUUUCUGAGUUAGGCACCUGCAAGGUUCAUAAUAUCAAUGAAGUUCAGUCUCAGUCCCCAAAUGCCGCUCCAGGGACAGAUCUCUGAGAAAAAUGCCCACAAGUGGCGCAAGGUGGAGCUAACUUUCUAGACCUGCAUGGGUUGGGGUAGGACUGAGAAACAAGAACAGGAAUAGGAAGGGACCUGGUUUGCGUUCCCUAUUGAGAUGCACAUGAUCUGGGAACAAUUCUUGUGGGGGAUGUAAAACUCAGGAUGCGGGAUCCUGGAAGGAAAAACUGAGGAGUGAAAGUUUGUAGGGUAUCAACACCCUACAAGGAAGUCCAAGGAUCAAGAUUAGAGAAAGAUAUUUAUAAAGUGAUGCUGCAGAAAACAUUAAGUGAAUGAUAGGUAUGGAACAAUAAUACUGAGAGUAUUUUUUUAUUAAUGUUGUACUGUCCCAAGGUAGUCCAAGCUUGAACUCAUUGCUUCUGAUAACUGCCUGGGAUAACGAAGAAAUGGGAGAGGAAAUCUCUCCAUAGAGAUUUCUGAAGAAAUCCAAAAUUUUAACUUGUACAUUGACCUUGUAAUGGAAAUAAGAAUGCACAGGAAAGCCCUUUGGGAAUUAGCUUCAGAAGGGAAAUACUAGAAAAUACAAAUAAGCCCAGAGCAUUUAUAGAAAAAGAGAAAAUUACAUGCCUAGAGAAUGGUCAGAUUUAACAUAGUUUGGAACAUAUAAUUUUCCAUCAGAAUAUUGGUAACAAUAUUUCAAUAAACUUGGGGCUGGAUGCCUUGUGAUGAAUAAAAUUGGAAGCCGUUAUUUCGUGUGAGUUCAAUCAGGGAGACACAGGGGACAAUUUGUCUGAUCCCUGAUUCUUUGUUUAGUAGACCCUCUUGGCCCAGAAACACUCUGAGAUGUCUUGUGUUUUUCAGGCCUUUUGUUUGUGAAUGCUUUUCAGUGCUGUUAUACCUGAGGACCUUGUGUUUUUCAUCAUGUGUAUGUAUGAUGUGAGACACCCUGUAUUGGAGACACAGAUGAUUUACUUGCAAGCCUCGCCUAAGACCAAAUUAAUAUCAGUACCUCAAGUAGCUUGCAAGAUUAGAUUCUAAGCCUAUAUUUAGGGAAUAUAGACUUCUUGGUCUUUUUCUUACUGUCCCAAAAUAUAAUCAGAUAAUCCUCUGUCUGGGUACUUGGGUGCCAAGUUACUUUCUUGCAGAAGCAUUCUCAAGAGUUCCUUUAGAAAAUCUAGGAAAGUGUAAGUCUAAAGACAAGCUAUAGCCUGAAGCCCAGGCUGCUGACUUGAGCACAGAUGGGAGAAUGUUAACAGCCAAGAAAUAUGAGGUCUUUGGCUCCUUUCCCAGAACUGCCAGGCUAAGACCUUGGCAGAGACUCAACAGGAAACUGAACUCUAUUUGCAUAUCCUUUUAUACAUGGGAGAUUAAAAGCUUCAACCUUGAGUGAUCACAGUUUUUGAGAAUCAUGAUGAGGCAUUAAAGAGAAGGAGGAGUGUCUCAAGGGAGGUGAGCUGGAGGCAAAGCAAGGCUGCUAGCUCUACUUAGGAGGUGGAAGUUUCCCCAGCUCUCAGAUAGCUUCUUUCCAGCAUGUGAUUUGGCACAGUUCCUAGGAAAUGAGGACAACUGAUCAUAGAGUCAUAGAGGGUAAGAACUGGAAAGGACUUCAGGCUGUAUCAAUUCUGGCCUCUUUACCUUAUAUAAGUGAGCUUGGGGAAGGGAGGUAAGAAGUUCAAGUUCUCACAGGGUAGAACUAAGUUUUGAACACAGCUUCCAGUCUAGUGGGUUUCUUUCCCAAUGUGUAAUAACUCUUCACAUGCCACAGUUCAACACUUUAAUUUCCCUAAGACUUACUUGAGAUAACUCAGGAACAUGCCAGGACUGUGACCCUGUGGAAGGAGCUGAUCAGUGCUGAGUAUAACAUUGUCGUUCUUACAAUCUCAUAGCAUCUCAUUUGUUUUUUUUCUCUCUCUCUUUUUUUAUUCUUUUAUAUAUUAUUUUCUUUUAUUAAAAU